rnacentral:rRNA from 1 species
GUUGUAUAGUCAAGUAAUUAAGUGCAUGUGGUGGAUGCCUUGGCAGUCAGAGGCGAUGAAAGACGUGAUAGCCUGCGAAAAGCUCCGGGGAGGCGGCAAAUAUCCUUUGAUCCGGAGAUGUCUGAAUGGGGGAACCCACCUACUUUAAGGUAGGUAUUGCAACAUGAAUACAUAGUGUUGCAAGGCGAACGAGGGGAAGUGAAACAUCUCAGUACCCUUAGGAAAAGAAAUCAAUUGAGAUUCCCUCAGUAGCGGCGAGCGAACGGGGAUCAGCCCAUUAAGUUAUGUGUGUUUUAGUGGAACGCUCUGGGAAGUGCGAACGUAGAGGGUGAUAUUCCCGUACACGAAAGGGCACACAUAAUGAUGACGAGUAGGGCGAGGCACGUGAAACCUUGUCUGAAUAUGGGGGGACCAUCCUCCAAGGCUAAAUACUCCUGACUGACCGAUAGUGAACCAGUACCGUGAGGGAAAGGCGAAAAGAACCCCUGUGAGGGGAGUGAAAUAGAUCCUGAAACCGCAUGCAUACAAGCAGUGGGAGCACCUUCGUGGUGUGACUGCGUACCUUUUGUAUAAUGGGUCAGCGACUUAUAUUCAGUAGCGAGGUUAACCGUAUAGGGGAGCCGUAGAGAAAUCGAGUCUUAAUAGGGCGUUUAGUUGCUGGGUAUAGACCCGAAACCAGGCGAUCUAUCCAUGAGCAGGUUGAAGGUUGGGUAACACUAACUGGAGGACCGAACCCACUGUCGUUGAAAAGCCAGGGGAUGACUUGUGGAUAGGGGUGAAAGGCUAAUCAAGCCUGGUGAUAGCUGGUUCUCCCCGAAAGCUAUUUAGGUAGCGCCUCGGACGAAUACCAUAGGGGGUAGAGCACUGUUUCGGCUAGGGGGUCAUCCCGACUUACCAAACCGAUGCAAACUCCGAAUACCUAUGAGUACUAUCCGGGAGACAGACUGCGGGUGCUAACGUCCGUAGUCAAGAGGAAAACAAUCCAGACCGCCAGCUAAGGCCCCAAAAUCAUAGUUAAGUGGGAAACGAUGUGGGAAGGCAUAGACAGCUAGGAGGUUGGCUUAGAAGCAGCCACCCUUUAAAGAAAGCGUAAUAGCUCACUAGUCGAGUCGGCCUGCGCGGAAGAUGUAACGGGGCUAAAACUAUGUGCCGAAGCUGCGGAUNNNNNNNNNNNNNNNNNNNNNNNNNNNNNNNNNNNNNNNNNNNAUGCUGGAGGUAUCAGAAGUGCGAAUGCUGACGUGAGUAACGACAAAACGGGUGAAAAACCCGUUCGCCGAAAGACCAAGGGUUCCAGUCCAACGUUAAUCGGGGCUGGGUGAGUCGACCCCUAAGGCGAGGCCGAAAGGCGUAGUCGAUGGGAAAAUGGUUAAUAUUCCAUUACUUCUGUGUAAUGCGAUGAGAGGACGGAGAAGGCUAAAUCAGCCUGGCGUUGGUUGUCCAGGUGAAAGGAUGUAGGCAUGUAUCUUAGGCAAAUCCGGGGUACUCUAUGCUGAGAUCUGAUAGCAAGCUGUACUUGUACAGCGAAGUGGUUGAUGCCAUGCUUCCAGGAAAAGUCUCUAAGCUUCAGUUACACAGGAAUCGUACCCGAAACCGACACAGGUGGUCAGGUCGAGUAGACCAAGGCGCUUGAGAGAACUCUGCUGAAGGAACUAGGCAAAAUGGUACCGUAACUUCGGGAGAAGGUACGCUGUUGUUGGUGAUGGAACUCGCUUCCUGAGCUGACGACAGCCGCAGAAACCAGGCCGCUGCAACUGUUUAUUAAAAACAUAGCACUCUGCAAACACGAAAGUGGACGUAUAGGGUGUGAUGCCUGCCCGGUGCUGGAAGGUUAAUUGAUGGGGUUAGCGUAAGCGAAGCUCUUGAUCGAAGCCCCAGUAAACGGCGGCCGUAACUAUAACGGUCCUAAGGUAGCGAAAUUCCUUGUCGGGUAAGUUCCGACCUGCACGAAUGGCAUAAUGAUGGCGGCGCUGUCUCCAGCAGAGGCUCAGUGAAAUCGAAAUCGCUGUGAAGAUGCAGUGUACCCGCGGCUAGACGGAAAGACCCCGUGAACCUUUACUGCAGCUUGACACUGAACUUUGACCUUACUUGUGUAGGAUAGGUGGGAGGCUUUGAAGCUGGAACGCUAGUUCCAGUGGAGCCGUCCUUGAAAUACCACCCUGGUAAUGUUGAGGUUCUAACUCUGUCCCGUGAUCCGGGACGAGGACCGUGUCUGGUGGGUAGUUUGACUGGGGCGGUCUCCUCCUAAAGAGUAACGGAGGAGUACGAAGGUGCGCUCAGCGUGGUCGGAAAUCACGCGUAGAGUAUAAAGGCAAAAGCGCGCUUAACUGCGAGACCCACAAGUCGAGCAGGUACGAAAGUAGGUCUUAGUGAUCCGGUGGUUCUGUAUGGAAGGGCCAUCGCUCAACGGAUAAAAGGUACUCUGGGGAUAACAGGCUGAUACCGCCCAAGAGUUCAUAUCGACGGCGGUGUUUGGCACCUCGAUGUCGGCUCAUCUCAUCCUGGGGCUGAAGCAGGUCCCAAGGGUAUGGCUGUUCGCCAUUUAAAGAGGUACGCGAGCUGGGUUUAGAACGUCGUGAGACAGUUCGGUCCCUAUCUACCGUGGGCGCUGGAAAUUUGAGAGGAUCUGCUCCUAGUACGAGAGGACCAGAGUGGACGAACCUCUGGUGUACCGGUUGUGACGCCAGUCGCAUCGCCGGGUAGCUAUGUUCGGAAGGGAUAACCGCUGAAAGCAUCUAAGCGGGAAGCCUACCUCAAGAUAAGAUUUCCCUAGGACUUUAUGUCCUCUAAAGAGCCGUUCGAGACUAGGACGUUGAUAGGUUGGAUGUGGAAGCAUAGUGAUAUGUGAAGCUGACCAAUACUAAUUGCUCGUGAGGCUUGACUAUACAACACCCAAGCAGUUG